rnacentral:rRNA from 1 species
UAGGGAAUCUUCGGCAAUGGACGAAAGUCUGACCGAGCAACGCCGCGUGAGUGAAGAAGGUUUUCGGAUCGUAAAACUCUGUUGUUAGAGAAGAACAAGGACGUUAGUAACUGAACGUCCCCUGACGGUAUCUAACCAGAAAGCCACGGCUAACUACGUGCCAGCAGCCGCGGUAAUACGGAGGUGGCAAGCGUUGUCCGGAUUUAUUGGGCGUAAAGCGAGCGCAGGCGGUUUCUUAAGUGUGAUGUGAAAGCCCCCGGCUCAACCGGGGAGGGUCAUUGGAAACUGGGAGACUUGAGUGCAGAAGAGGAGAGUGGAAUUCCAUGUGUAGCGGUGAAAUGCGUAGAUAUAUGGAGGAACACCAGUGGCGAAGGCGGCUCUCUGGUCUGUAACUGACGCUGAGGCUCGAAAGCGUGGGGAGCAAACAGG